GACGAACGCUGGCGGCGUGCUUAACACAUGCAAGUCGAACGGAAAGGCCCUGCUUUUGUUGGGUGCUCGAGUGGCGAACGGGUGAGUAACACGUGAGUAACCUGCCCUUGACUUUGGGAUAACUUCAGGAAACUGGGGCUCAUAUCGGGUAGGAGCUCCUGCUGCAUGGGGGGGGUUGGAAAGUUUCGGCGGUUGGGGAUGGACUCGCGGCUUAUCCGCUUGUUGGUGGGGUAGUGGCUUACCAAGGCUUUGACGGGUAGCCGGCCUGAGAGGGUGACCGGCCACAUUAGGCCUGAGAUACGGCCCAGACGCCUACGGGAGGCAGCAGGGGGGAAUAUUGCACAAUGGGCGGAAGCCUGAUGCAGCAACGCCGCGUGCGGGAUGACGGGUUUCGGGGUGUAAACCGCUUUCGCCUGUGACGAAGCGUGAGUGACGGUAAUGGGUAAAGAAGCACCGGCUAACUACGUG
rnacentral:rRNA from 1 species